GGGUUCUGAGAGUUGUUAAAGAGACUCCUUUUCCCCUCACAGAGCUACAGUCUCCAGAGUUCCCUGAGAAGAGGGACUGGUUGUUAAACUACUCUGGAAAUUGUAGCUCUGUGAGGGGAGAAGGGGUCUCAUAACUACUCUCAGUGCCC